rnacentral:rRNA from 1 species
AUUGAACGCUGGCGGCAUGCCUUACACAUGCAAGUCGAACGGCAGCACGGGAGCAAUCCUGGUGGCGAGUGGCGAACGGGUGAGUAAUAUAUCGGAACGUGCCCAGUCGUGGGGGAUAACGCAGCGAAAGCUGUGCUAAUACCGCAUACGAUCUCUGGAUGAAAGCGGGGGACUCGCAAGAGCCUCGCGCGAUUGGAGCGGCCGAUAUCAGAUUAGCUAGUUGGUGGGGUAAAAGCCCACCAAGGCGACGAUCUGUAGCUGGUCUGAGAGGACGACCAGCCACACUGGAACUGAGACACGGUCCAGACUCCUACGGGAGGCAG